GGCUUGAACCUGCAACCUCAUGGUUCCUAGUCAGAUUCGUUAACCACUGCGCCACGACGGGAACUCCAGUUCCUCUCUUACCUUUGCAAGUGUUCUGUGAAUUGUCACUUUUUAAAUGUGGUCAUUUCUUACCACUACAUUAAAAUGAUAAACCCUCCCCCUCCUCUGGGAUAUCCUAUACAACUCAAUGCUUCAUUUUUUUUUUUUCUCUACAGCCCUUAUUAUCUUCUAGUAUAAGUUUCAUUUACAUAAUCUGUGCAUUACCUUUUUAUUCCCAUUAGAAGGUAAACUUUAUAUGCAUAGCUCUCUCUGAAUAUUUUAUCCCCUAAUGUAUCCCCAGCCCUUACAGCAGUACCUGUCUCAUAGUAGAGGCCCAAUCCAUGUGUUGAAAGGAUGAUUAUAUAAAAAAUAAAAUAAGGGAAGCUAGAAAAAAAAGAGAAACAUUUGUAAUGGCAUCAAUGAUAUUAAUAACUGCUAUACAUUACUGACGUCCUACUUGGUGCUACAGAAUACAACAUUUAGAACAAUCCUAUGGGUGAAAAAAUGCAUCCAUUUCACAGAUAAGGAGACUAAGUCUCUGGUACGAAGCUUAAGAUAAUGUAAAAGAGAGUAGCAGAAUGAGGGUUUAACAGGUGUGUCUGACUCACAGUUGUCUAUUAUCUCAGUCCUGCCUUCAUAAACUACUCUCCAAUGGUAAUUCACUCUUUUUCAGUCAUUUGAUAUUUCAAUUAGGAAACAUAGAGGCAUAUUGAUAAGGUUAAUAUAUAAAUUAACUGACUGCAAAAAUAGGUUCAGAGCCCAGAUUCUAGUACUGGACUGCAUGGGUGCACACCCUGCUCAUACAAGUAAGGGUUAAGUUUCCUUGGGCAUUUUUGUUUAUCUCUCCAUGGCUCAGUUUUCACAUCCAUAAAAAGUGGAUAACAAUUAUCCCUCCCAUGUCAGUCUUCAUACGAAUGAAGUAAACUAGCGUAAGUAAAUAACAUUUAGAAUAAUGAUAAUAUAAGCACAAGUGCUAUGCUUCUUUGCAUUACACAACAUUUUAAAGAUAUACAGUCUUUUCACAGUGUUUCCAUUAUUUAAUAUUCAUAGCAAUUUCAUGAGGUAGAUAAGGAGAAUAUUUAUCCCCAGGUUAGUCUUUGAUUUGCUAGUUAUUUAUCAUUUAAUGUUUGCUAUGUCCUAGUCUAGGCUUUAAGCUUAUACAGAUAAAAAGAAAACACAAUCUUUAUGCCCAAGAACACCCAGAUAAGAAAGAAAAUACAGUGGAAUAAAUGCUUUGAAAAAUGCAGCCUGAGGAUGCGAGAAAACUGAAACCUACAGAGGUUAAAAAAACCUGCUCAAGAGUGCCCAAAUAAUGAGUCUUCUCACUCUCCAUUGAGAGUUUUCCCCUUAAACACUGGGAGGAAUGGUAGAUAAAGUAGUCCUGUGAGACGGCGGGGGUUGGGGGUAUGAGCUCUGAGGCAUUUUCUUGCUGCAGGGAAAACCCCAGCUUCUCCUUGCAUUGCAGCAAAUGACUGAUCUUAUUCCUCCUUCCCUCACCUGGUCUCCAGCCUGGUGCGCAAGAUCUCAUUAUCCUAAAAUUACAAAUAAUAAUCUUAUGAAAACACCAAGGUGGUGCAAAUGGAUAUUGUGGCCAUGAACUCUUGUCUGACUGGUUCACAGAAGAGUAGACUAAAGUCAAUGUUUCACCUGAGAACUGGGAAACGUGGAUACGACCUUGGGCAAAUGAUUGCAUUUCUCUGCAUCUUGGUAAAUGUUAGCUAUCACUAUCACCUUUGUGGUUUCUAGAAUGACUUGGAUGGGCGUCACAUUCGGAAAAAGAAAACCCAAACAAGGCACUGCAUGACCUCAGAGAUGAGUAAGCGUUCAAGAAAAAUAAGCAACAAAGAAUAUCUUCAUAUAAUAAGCAAUCAUUUUUAUUUUGCAUAAUAUGAAUGGAAGAAACAUUAAUAAAAUACCAAAGGGAAUAUAUAUCAGAAGGCUUCAGCAACUUAUUGGUUUUGUUUCAAAUGCUUUAUCUGUAGAGUCAUCAGUUAAAUAUGCCAGAUGAAGAGUUUGUGAUGGAGAACACUUGCUGGAUCAAAACCAAGAACGUAAGAGACUAAGAAUUUCAAAGUCAAGGUGUUGUCAGAUUUGGUAUCUGGUGGGGAUCUUCUUCCUUGUUCAUACCAAGGCUAUCUUCUUGCUGUGUCCUCAUAUGGAAGAAGGGGCUAGGGGAGCUCCUGAAGUCUCUUGUAUGUGAGUAUUUCUUAUUAAUGAGAGCUCCACCCUUUUGACCUAAUCACCUUCCAAAAGACCCACCUCCAAAUCAACAUAUGGAUUGGAAGAGACAUAAAUGUUCAGUCCAUAGCAUCAUGAUUUAAUAUCAUGAGCCUUGAAAAUUGAGACAUCUUAAUUUAACCAACUUUUCAACACUAAAUAUCUGUAAAACCACUAUUGAAACCACUAAAUUAUAUAUAUGUGCCUAUAUAAUAUAUAUAUAUAAUUACAUAUAUAUCUUUAUAUAUGAAUGUCUUAUUUACUUUCCAGAAUUCCAGCUCUCCAGUUCUCUGGAGGUUAGGACAAGAGUUUUCACAUGCCACUAAAUACAAAUUUACCACAUCCUAAAGUUCAAACCCUUACCAUUGGAUUAAAAGUCAAGUUAUCUCUCUGUACCAUCAUUCCUAGAGAGGGGUGAACAAGACUUUCUUUGUUUUCCAGUGCAUUCUACAAUCACAAUAAGAUUUUCCCCAAAAGAUUAACAAACCUUAGAAUGAACUCAGUCAAGCUUUGAUUGAACUUAUCCUGAGUAUUCAGCAAUUUCUUCACAAUAAUAAGUUGGACUUUGGAAAUCUAAGUUAUGUGGUUACUUCUGUUAAAAUUCCAUUUACUGAUUGGUUUAAAACCUGGAAUAUUUUGGGAAGAUUUUCUCUAUGUGUUUGGACAAAUCUUCUCUAGGAAAGAUAUAAUUUAAGUCAAAUCAUUUCAAAUUGUGACUGAAACCACUAGUCAGAAAGACUUGUAAUCAAUGCUUAUGUGAAAAAGAAAAGAGUAUGUGUAGCUUGAUACAACUUCAAUGUAUUUUUCUCAUAGCUCAGAUGUAGAUGUUUUAUAUUAGGAGGUAUACACAUAAUGAAGCAGUGUAUUGUUUUGCAUUACAUCUGUCAUUACAUUAGAAAACCAUUUGGCAGGUUUAGUCAUGCCUAUGAUACGCCCAUUCAGCUCUCAGGGCUUAUGUGGUACCAACAUAUUGUCUUGCUUAGUCAUUAUCUUUUUACUCCUUACUUCCCUUCAGAGACUCUGGGGUAAUGGAGGGCAGGUGUUUUUGCAAUGUCGCUAUUCCUUUCAUGCAGGCAUUAGGUAGUAAAUAUUUUUGAUUGAGACUAAUCUUUUAAAUUUCCUCUGUAUUAGCAGGUACCUGGUAUAUCAUUCAUCUUUAAACAUUCAUUUGUGAUUUUUUGAUAUGUUUGUUUCUCUCAAAAAUAAACAUAUCUGAGAGCAGGUCUAGUGUCUUUACUCAGUGCUGUGUCUCUUGUGGCUAUCUAGUGCUCAGCACAUAGUGGUUGUUAGAGGGAUAUUUAUUGGAUAAAUUAAUACUUUGAAUGAAUAAAUGUAUUCCAAUAUCUCCAUUCUUCAUAACUCUGUCUAUAAGGAAAUGGCAAUAAAAAAUAUCUCAAAAUAGAGCAACUUUUAGUAGCCAGAGCAAUGCUGUCUGAGACCUACACCACAGCUCAUGGCAACACCAGAUCCUUAACCCUCAGGGAUGGAAUUUGCAACCCCAUGGAUACUAGUCAAGCUCGUUACCACUGAGCCACUAUGGGAACUCUAAAGCAGUAGGUCUUUAUGAUGAUGGAUCGUUUAACCAUUUGUGACAGAGUGAAGGAAUUAUGCCGAAACACAAAAAUCCCCAAAGUUUUUAACAUUAAAAAAUUUACCUCCACAAAAGGGAACCCUCCUGCACUGUUGGUGGGAAUGUA